rnacentral:rRNA from 1 species
AUUGAACGCUGGCGGCAGGCCUAACACAUGCGAGUCGAACGGUAACAGGAAGCAGCUUGCUGCUUUGCUGACGAGUGGCGGACGGGUGAGUAAUGUCUGGGAAACUGCCCGAUGGAGGGGGAUAACUACUGGAAACGGUAGCUAAUACCGCAUAACGUCGCAAGACCAAAGAGGGGGACCUUAGGGCCUCUUGCCAUCGGAUGUGCCCAGAUGGGAUUAGCUAGUAGGUGGGGUAACGGCUCACCUAGGCGACGAUCCCUAGCUGGUCUGAGAGGAUGACCAGCCACACUGGAACUGAGACACGGUCCAGACUCCUACGGGAGGCAGCAGUGGGGAAUAUUGCACAAUGGGCGCAAGCCUGAUGCAGCCAUGCCGCGUGUAUGAAGAAGGCCUUCGGGUUGUAAAGUACUUUCAGCGGGGAGGAAGGGAGUAAAGUUAAUACCUUUGCUCAUUGACGUUACCCGAAGAAGAAGCACCGGCUAACUCCGUG